UACACAAUACUUUUCCCAGACCCCACGGUGUGGGAUAAUACUGGGUCUGUAGUUUCAGUUAGUAGUGCACAUUAACACGAAAUAGUAUGUUUUAGAACAUUCUGACCGCGCUUACCACAAAUAAGUACAUUUCAAAGUCAGAAGACAUGCAUGUUGACAUAAUCAAUUAAAGAGUAAAAUAUAAAAUUUUGAAGCACUUGCUUUAUAUUUUAAUGAAAUCAUAUCUAAAAUUGAAUAACAUCGAAAUAUGAAAUCAUAAUAGAGGUGUACUUAUGGGACAAUAGAGGUAGCAUCUUGUUACAGAUGGUUUCUGCAAUUCUCUGUCUGCUACUAUUCUCAGUAAACUUAAUGCUAUGUUUGGCAUUGGAUAAGAUAUCUGAACAUCAACAACUUCAAGAUGAUCAAACUAUCGUAUCAGCAGGAGGUAUCUUUGAACUUGGCUUCUUUAGUUUUAAUGAAUCAGAUGCACGAUAUGUUGGAAUAUGCUACGAGGAACUCCCAGCCGAAAAGGUUGUAUGGGUAGCAAAUGCUGGAACUCCUCUGAAUGAUACAUCUGGAGUUCUUAUGAUCGGAAAUGAUGGUAAUUUGGUCAUUGUUGGUGGUAAUAAAACCAAAGUAAUUUGGUCCACUGAAGUUGCCUUCACAUCCAAUCACACUGGUGCAGUGCUUCAUGAUUCAGGAAAUCUUGUUCUUAUGGAGAACAAAUUGAAUGGGGUAGUAUUGUGGGCAGUGGCGGAUCCAGAAUUUUCAUCAAGAGGUGUUAAAAUAUAAAUAAUUAGAUACAUCGAAAAGUUAAGGGGAGUCAACGUCUAGUAAAUAUACAUAAAAUAAAAAAAUAUUAUCUAGCAAAAUAGUGUAAUUUUCCGGCGAAUGGAUGUCAAUGUGGCUCCGCCACUGAUUGUGGGGGAGUUUCAAUCAUUUAUCGGACACUUAUUUGCCUCAAAUGAAGUUGGGACUGAAUAACAUAACAAGCGAAAAAACAUACUUAAGGUCUUGGAAGAGUGCACUUCAGGAUGUGGGAAAGGCUUUAAAGACAUGACAAAGAGGAGAAAAAGAAUGAUAAUUUCGUUAGAUUCUGUAGCAGGUACCUUGUUGGGAAUGGAAAAAAUCCAGAAGUUCCAUUUUUCAACUUGCAUACAAUAGAAGCUGCUAUGGAUCGCUUCUCCAAUGCAAAUAAACUUGGACAAGGAGGAUUUGGUCCAGUUUACAAGGGAAACUUACCAGAUGGACAAGAGAUUGCUGUUAAAAGACUUUCACGACAAGGCAUAGAGGAGUUUAAGAAUGAAGUCAUAUUAAUUUCUGAACUCCAACAUCAAAACCUGGUCAGGUUACUAGGAUUUUGCAUCCAAGGGGAGGAGAAGUUGCUGGUAGCCCAACAAAAGCUUGGACUCUUUCAUUUUUGGUUUGUUCUUUGAUAUUGAUUCUUCAGCUUUAGUAUCCUGCUAUUAGAGAUUUUAAGCAGCAAAAGGAGCACCAUCUUUUAUCGCUAUGAAGGAUCUUUCAGGCCAUGCAUGGCAGUUGUGGAAUGAGGGAAAGGCAAUCGAGUUUUUACAUCCAACAUUGGGUAACUCAUACAAUCAAAUGCAAGUUAGUAGAUGUCUAAAUAUUGGCCUCCCAUAUGUCCAAGAUCAUCCAGAUGAUCGGCCUAUUAUGGCAACAAUAGUUUCAAUGAUUUACAGUGAGGUGAUCUUACCAUCUCCGGAAUGAAUCAAGUUUAUCAUGACGGGGUCCACACCCAUUAAUAGAAAAAAAAAAGAAAAGAAAGGGAAUUGAACCAAUCUGCACUGCAGAUUGUAUUGUCCAAGUUGUAAAGUGAGAUUCAAUCUUCCGAUUGGUUAAUUGGGGCAGCCAUCCUCUCUAUAUAAGGAGAGCUUCAGUUCUCAUUUUAUACACCAAUCUCAGAGGAAAAAUAUAUAUGAGAGUUAGAAAGAAAGAGUGAGAUUUCACAGACAGGGUACAAAAAAAUAGUCUGUGAGAAAAAUAGAGAGUGAGCGAUAUUGUAGUGAGGUGCGAAUAUCAAAAGAGGGUUAUUUCU